rfam:Schistosoma rodhaini strain Burundi genome assembly, scaffold: SROB_scaffold0005461
ACACUGCUGAGGAGUCCCACAACAGGACGAAACGACCGUUCAGUGU